UACGAAGGGGGCUAGCGUUGCUCGGAAUCACUGGGCGUAAAGGGUGCGUAGGCGGGUCUUUUAAGUCAGGGGUGAAAUCCUGGAGCUCAACUCCAGAACUGCCUUUGAUACUGAAGAUCUUGAGUUCGGGAGAGGUGAGUGGAACUGCGAGUGUAGAGGUGAAAUUCGUAGAUAUUCGCAAGAACACCAGUGGCGAAGGCGGCUCACUGGCCCGAUACUGACGCUGAGGCACGGAAAGCGUGGGGAGCAAACAGG
rnacentral:rRNA from 1 species